AUACGGAGGGGGCAAGCGUUAUCCGGAUUUACUGGGUGUAAAGGGAGCGUAGACGGCGAAGCAAGUCUGAAGUGAAAGGACGGGGCCCAACUCCGGAACUGCUUUGGAAACUGUUUGGCUGGAGUGCGGGAGGGGUAAGCGGAAUUCCUAGUGUAGCGGUGAAAUGCGUAGAUAUUAGGAGGAACACCGGUGGCGAAGGCGGCUUACUGGACCGUAACUGACGUUGAGGCUCGAAGGCGUGGGGAGCAAACAGGAUUAGAUACCCUGGUAGUCCACGCGGUAAACGAUGAUCACUAGGUGUCCGUGGGUAUGACCCAUGGGUGCCGCAGCCAACGCAAUAAGUGAUCCACCUGGGGAGUACGUUCGCAAGAAUGAAACUUAAAUGAAUUGGCGGGG
rnacentral:rRNA from 1 species